rnacentral:rRNA from 1 species
CCUAACACAUGCAAGUCGAACGGUAACAGGAAGAAGCUUAGCUUCUUUGCUGACGAGUGGCGGACGGGUGAGUAAUGUCUGGGAAACUGCCUGAUGGAGGGGGAUAACUACUGGAAACGGUAGCUAAUACCGCAUAACGUCGCAAGACCAAAGAGGGGGACCUUCGGGCCUCUUGCCAUCGGAUGUGCCCAGAUGGGAUUAGCUAGUAGGUGGGGUAACGGCUCACCUAGGCGACGAUCCCUAGCUGGUCUGAGAGGAUGACCAGCCACACUGGAACUGAGACACGGUCCAGACUCCUACGGGAGGCAGCAGUGGGGAAUAUUGCACAAUGGGCGCAAGCCUGAUGCAGCCAUGCCGCGUGUAUGAAGAAGGCCUUCGGGUUGUAAGAGG